AAGUCGUAACAAGGUUUCCCUCCGCAGCUGAGCUUCGGAGACCUUGCACCCCUCUGGGGGGGAGGGCAGCGCGACUAUAAAUAAGGCUGGCCACUUGCAAGUUGACCGUGAGGUCAGCGACAUAAUCGAAUUGACGGGGACUUCCUAAAGCCUGUAGCACCACCUAGACGGGGAAACCCGUUUAGUACGGUAAGAGCCUGUAGGAUACACAAUGGAUAAUCCGCAGCCGAGCCCCUACUGCGAAAGCCACGGGGAAGGUUCACAGACUAGGUG
rnacentral:misc_RNA from 1 species